AUUGAACGCUGGCGGCAUGCCUUGCACAUGCAAGUCGAACGGCAGCACGGGAGCAAUCCUGGUGGCGAGUGGCGAACGGGUGAGUAAUACAUCGGAACGUGCCCAAUCGUGGGGGAUAACGCAGCGAAAGCUGUGCUAAUACCGCAUACGAUCUACGGAUGAAAGCAGGGGAUCGCAAGACCUUGCGCGAAUGGAGCGGCCGAUGGCAGAUUAGGUAGUUGGUGAGGUAAAGGCUCACCAAGCCGCCGAUCUGUAGCUGGUCUGAGAGGACGACCAGCCACACUGGGACUGAGACACGGCCCAGACUCCUACGGGAGGCAGCAGUGGGGAAUUUUGGACAAUGGGCGAAAGCCUGAUCCAGCCAUGCCGCGUGCAGGAUGAAGGCCUUCGGGUUGUAAACUGCUUUUGUACGGAACGAAACGGCCUUUUCUAAUAAAGAGGGCUAAUGACGGUACCGUAAGAAUAAGCACCGGCUAACUACGUGCCAGCAGCCGCGGUAAUACGUAGGGUGCAAGCGUUAAUCGGAAUUACUGGGCGUAAAGCGUGCGCAGGCGGUUAUGUAAGACAGUUGUGAAAUCCCCGGGCUCAACCUGGGAACUGCAUCUGUGACUGCAUAGCUAGAGUACGGUAGAGGGGGAUGGAAUUCCGCGUGUAGCAGUGAAAUGCGUAGAUAUGCGGAGGAACACCGAUGGCGAAGGCAAUUCCCUGGACCUGUACUGACGCUCAUGCACGAAAGCGUGGGGAGCAAACAGAUAGAUACCCUAGUAGUCCAAGGCGAAUUCCACAUUGGGCUGCAGCCGGGGAUCACUAGUCUAGAGAGGCGCGACGCGGGAGCUCUACUAAUCCUACUAUGAGUCGUAUAUACCGCUCACUGUCGUGUUUCACAAG
rnacentral:rRNA from 1 species